GAAACCAACAGGGAUUGCCCCAGUAACGGCGAGUGAAGCGGCAACAGCUCAAAUUUGAAAUCUGGCCUCCGGCCCGAGUUGUGAUUUGUAGAGGAUGCUUUUGGUGCGGUGCCUUCUGAGUUCCCUGGAAUGGGACGCCAUAGAGGGUGAGAGCCCCGUACGGUUGGACGCCAAGGCUUCUGUAAAGCUCCUUCGACGAGGUCGAGUAGUUUGGGAAUGCUGCUCAAAAAUGGGAGGUAAAAUUCUCUCAAAGCUAAAUACCGGCCAGAGACCGAUAGCGCACAAGUAGAGUGAUCGGAAAGAUGAAAAGCACUUUGAAAAGAGGGUUAAACAGCACGUGAAAUUGUUGAAAGGGAAGCGCUUGUGACCAGACUUGCGCCCUCCGAAUCAUCCGGCGUUUUCUCCGGUGCACUUCGUUGGGUUCAGGCCAGCAUCGGUUUUCUUAGGGGGACAAAAGCUCCGGGAACGUGGCUCUUCGGAGCGUUAUAGCCCGCCGCAGAAUACCCUUCAGGGGACCGAGGACCGCGCUUCGGCAAGGAUGGAUGUUUGGGUGUCAAACCCGCACGCGUAAUGAAAGUGAAUGCUGGUGAGAGCUUCGGCGCAUCAUCGACCGAUCCUGAUGUUCUCGGAUGGAUUUGAGUAAGAGCCUUACCGCUUGGACCCGAAAGUUGAUGAACUAUGCCUGUAUAGGGUGAAGCCAGAGGAAACUCUGGUGGAGGCUCGCAGCGGUUCUGACGUGCAAAUCGAUCGUCAAAUAUGGGCAUGGGGGCGAAAGUAAGUCAAACCUACGCUGGAAAAUUAAUAAAUAUUCCUUGGUAUGCUAUU
rnacentral:rRNA from 2 species